rnacentral:rRNA from 1 species
UCUUCCCUCUUUCUUCGUGCCUAAUACAUGCAAGUCGAGCGAACAGACGAGGAGCUUGCUCCUCUGACGUUAGCGGCGGACGGGUGAGUAACACGUGGAUAACCUACCUAUAAGACUGGGAUAACUUCGGGAAACCGGAGCUAAUACCGGAUAAUAUAUUGAACCGCAUGGUUCAAUAGUGAAAGACGGUUUUGCUGUCACUUAUAGAUGGAUCCGCGCCGCAUUAGCUAGUUGGUAAGGUAACGGCUUACCAAGGCAACGAUGCGUAGCCGACCUGAGAGAGUGAUCGGCCACACUGGAACUGAGACACGGUCCAGACUCCUACGGGAGGCAGCAGUAGGGAAUCUUCCGCAAUGGGCGAAAGCCUGACGGAGCAACGCCGCGUGAGUGAUGAAGGUCUUCGGAUCGUAAAACUCUGUUAUUAGGGAAGAACAAAUGUGUAAGUAACUAUGCACGUCUUGACGGUACCUAAUCAGAAAGCCACGGCUAACUACGUG